rnacentral:lncRNA from 1 species
UGCAACAAACAUUUAUUGAGCAUCUGUUGCAUGCACGUCAUUGUUCCAGAUGCUGCGAACACUCAGAGGACAGUCACGGUAACUGUCAUGUAGGAGAACAUACAUGGAAGCUACACCAAAACUUCAAGGGAGAAUUAGAAGAGGCCUUACCUAGAAACACACUGAUUUCAGAAAUAUGGAAUGAGUAGGAGAUUGUCAGUAAAGAGGAGAUAUGUGAAUAUGUGAGGGAUGAUGUGUGUGUGUGUGUGUGUGUGUGUGUGAGAGAGAGAGAGAGAGAGAGAGAGAGAGAGAGAGAGUGAGAGAGAGAGGAAGGAGAGAGCUGCUUGCCUUGCCGGUAGGGGUAGGGCGAAAAGAGGAAAUUGACAUGUAAUCAAAUUACAUCAUAAAAGGCCACAAAGGGCCUGCAAAGGAGUGCAGGGUUCUUUUGACCACCAGGAGAUGGGAGCCUUGGAAGAGUGUGCAGCAGAGGCCUCUGUGAGGGACCUGGGAUGGGAGCAAGAGGAGGGGCAGAGAGCAGCCAGGAGGAUGGAGCAGCAGCAGCCAGAAGGAUUUCCCUGGAGAGACGCCUGUGUUACAGCAUUCUUGACUUCGAGUUCAGACUUAGUCAUUCCUAAGUUCAGGGUGGGCCUGGACAGCCCUGCGUCCUUGCCAUCCCCACUGCAUGGUCCCUGCCUCCGUGCCCAGCGCUGCCCAGCUGCCCGUCAGUCUCCGUCCUCCACUGCUUACACUGCCGCAGCUGUUGGAAUAGCUUCAAAUGUGGUUCAAGACAGACAAGUUUGACUCUAUGGAGGCCACAGAUAUUCACUUCUACUGAAUCAGCUGUUUCCUGUUGAAAAUUUUAAACAAUAUUAAUGACUGACUUCUGUACAGCCAAGUAGUUUGAUCAUGCUUUUUAUUUAAUUCAGUUUAGGAGAGGAAAGCAACUCAUUGAUCAUUUUUUAAGAUUCAGUUUAUGAGUGAUAUGGUAUAGAAACCACAUUUCCUGAAACAGUCUUUGUUGAAGUACUCUGAUUAGAAAAAAAAAGAAUAGCUCAGUAAGUAAAACAAUUUUGUUAGGAACUUUAUUUUCUAAAGCAAAAGUAGAUGACAAGAGGACUUGCCUACUCUGAUCUGCAGUGGAAAACUAUAUUACUUUUUGUUCAGUGUAUCAUUUAUAAUGUGUUAUGCCUUUAUGAGUAUGUUUUGUAGUUCGUGUAAAUUGGUUAUACUCUUAAUCCUCUAUUUAGAUUUAAGCCUCAGGGAACAAGGCUCCUAAAAUGUGCUUUUGUCAGAAGCGAGGAGGAAAUGGAGCAGCCCAGUGACACCCUCACUGCUGGGGCUAUGACCGGAGGCCUGCGACGGGGCUGGCCAGCAAGCUCGUGACAAGUUCCUGAGAGCCAAGGGGCAGUUGGUUAGCAAGGCUUUUAAUUUAAGUUCAAUUUGGGUUAUGUAAGAAAUGCGGAAGAAAAAUCUUUAGUAUACUCCUUAAUGAUCUGACUAGGAUAAAUUGGGUGUACUGAUAAUAGCUGUAGUAUUUACCGAAAAGUACUUUCUAAGAAAUAGAAACAUUGCUCCAAUGGAAUGAUGAAAAACUUAUCAUCAAAAGAGAGCUAGGCACAGGGGUGGUGGAACAGAAGUGGUCUACUCAGGACCCAGUGACUGUUUUCUCUGAAGUGCCGUCAAGGACCAUUAAGGAGAAGAGGCAUUUAUAGAAGCAUAAGACUGUCAGAGCUGCAAGGGUCACCUCUGGUCUGACACCCUAACUUUACAGGGCAGGAAACCCAGGCCUGCUUACUCAAGGGUAAUCACACUGCGAUUUCUGUUGAGGGACAGGUAUGUUUGGAGAAAUGGUAUGUUUUGGGGACCUAGAACUAGACCUAUGCCCUUGGGUGCACUUAGGGAAGGAGAGAAGCCCAGUCUCGUGGGAAGAACAUGCUGGGUGAAGGGCUGGAUGUCAGGAGCAUGAUGACGACAUCUAGGUGGCACAUGGAGGAGGAGUUAGUAGGAGGCCAGUCAAGUGGGACUUGGAAAUCCAGGUAAGUAGUGAACUCUGAGCAGGUAAUGGAGGCAUCAGCCAUUCAUCUUCAAUGCAGAGACAAGUGUUCUGUCCCUAAAAUAGAGAGACGUCUAACAAAAGAAAGAAGGAGUUCCAAUUCUCUAAAGACUGGGUUACCAGUUAGGUUAAACAUAGAUUGUCCAGGCUGAUACUGCAGCUUUAGAACAAGAGAAAUUUCUAGACCUGGGGCACAGGCCAGUACCUAUAAGCAAAGUGAAAAAAUGGUAUAUUCUAAGAUGCUAGGACAGAGCCCCUAUAUUCCUCUUCAAGGAAGGAUUUUUCUAAGAAACUAGUAUGUGGAAAAUGAAAAAAUAAGUCUCAAGAAAAUACGUUUGGUCACAUCCCAGAUCCAACUUAUUAAAACAUUUUUGUGCAUUUUCAGGUUACUGUUCCCAUUUAAAAGACAUCUUACAAAAUACCCCAGAGUGAGUGAAAUGAAACAAUUCAUUUCUCACAGUUCUGGAGGCUGGGGAGCCCAACGUCAAGACACCAGCAGAUUCAGUGUCUGGUGAGGGCCCACUUCCUGGUCCUUGGUCAGCCAUCUUCUUCUGUAACCUCUCCUGGUGGGAGGGGCAAGGAGGAACUCUGUGGUCCUUUUUAUAAUGGCACUAAUCCCCUUUUGAGUGCUCUGCAUUCCAGAGGAUCCCACUUCUAAAUAUCAUAUGUCCAUUAGAAUUUAACACAUGAAUUUUGAGAGCAUCCAAAUAUUUUAUCUAUAGCAAUAGAUGAACCUAAUCUAGAAAUUUUACUCUAAUGAUUCUCAAAUAUACCUUAGAUUAGUAACAUAAGGAUGCAGAGAGAAGUAAAAGAAAAAUCGCCCUUUCUUUAUUAAUAUUAAUUAUUCUGAUUAAUUGCAACACAUGAAUUUAUUUAUAGAACUUUAAAAUAUUACUCUUGCUUUUAUUUCCAACAACAUGAGUGAAGAACAAUGAAAAUGUAAAAUAUCACAUAAGAAUGCAGGUGAGUGGAAUAAUUUGUGUUGAUUGGGAAUUAGUAUUAUUGAGUUUAGCAUUUACUGAGACCCUACCAUGUGAAGAAACUGAGAACUGAAUGAUGAACAUGACAUAAUGGCUAAUGUUAUAUGUCAACUUGCUAAGUUAUGGUGCACAGUUGUUGGAUGGAAGACAAAUAUAAGUGUUGUCAUGAGGGCGCUUUUAAAAUAUGAAUAAUAUUUAUAUUAGUAGACUUUGAGCCAAGCAGAUUAUCCCCUAUAGUGUGAGUAAGCCUUGUCCAAUCAGUUGAAGACCAGAAGAACAAAGCCUGUGGUUUCUCGAAGAAGGAAUUCUGAUGACUGCAACACAGAAAUCCUGCCUGAAUUUCCAUCCUGCUGUCUGGUGGAAUUUGCACUCAAGACUGCAAAAACACCUAUUGCCUAAGUUUCAACUCUGGGCAAAUUUAAAACUUGCCAGCCUCUACAGUCACAAGGGACAAUUCCUUAAAACAAAUCUAUCAUCUGUCAUUUGUUACCUGCCUGUCCUAUUGGUUCUGUUUCUCUGGAGAACCCUCAGGAAUACACACGACCUAUUUUCACACUAGGAGCCAAUAAAAUGCUGAAAAAUAUUCAACAUCUCAAGUAACUUGGUCUGGUUAAGCCGGUAGCAUUUGGAUUUCUUUUCUUUUUCUUUUAAAUGUUUAAUUCCUUUGUUAGUACAUGUUUGUAGUGUACGAUGUUUACAGUCAUCUCAGGGAAUAUGUGCUUGUACUGAACGUAUCUUAAUAUCUUUUAUUCUGCUUCUCCUCUCCUCCCUUCCCUCUGUCUCCAGAUCCUUUUUCCCAGUUUUUGUUUUUUUUUCUUAGUUCUUGUUUGUGACACAUAAUGUUCACAUUCCUCGUGGGGAGUCAGUACACAUACCCGACACAUCUUAAUUCUUUUUAUGUCCCCUUCCCCUCCCCUUUCCUACAUCUCUCGGCCCCCUUCCCAUUUGCAAAAGAUAUAUCUCCUGUUUCUUAUUUCCUUUUAAAGGACUACCAGGAAAACAACACAUCUCAAUUCAUUGUACUAUUUCUCAAACUAACACUUGAUUAGUUUUGUCCAAAUUUGAGACAAUAAAUUUUGCAUCUGCUGAAUCACUGCCACUUUUCCUCUCAAAGUUCUUCAAGCCAAGUUCCAGUGGGGAAUAUGUGAAAAUACUGGGAAGCACAGCUGCUACAAGAGUCCAAGAAUUUGAAGGUCACUCUUUCUGAUCAACACACAUUAAGUAUUGCCAAGCAUUUAUGUUUUAAAGAUGGUAACAAGCAAUUGAUUUAUUGUUUGUCAUCAACCACAAAACAUUUGAUUAAACUAGGGAUUUGAAAAGUUUUCUCCACUCAUUUUUAUAAUUUCAUAAGGUUGAACCCGAGCUAAAAGGAUGUCAGAUCUAGCUUCCUGGUUUUAUAAAUAAAGUACAGAAAAAUUAAUGAUUUUAAGUAGUGAUUUGC